AUGAGUAAAGCGGCGUACGGGUGAGUAACACGUGGAUGAUCUACCUUUUAGUGGGGGAUAACUUUGGGAAACCGAAGCUAAUACCGCAUAAGCCUGAAGAGGGAAAGCAGCAAUGCGCUGAAAGAGGAGUCCGCGGCCGAUUAGCUAGUUGGUGAGGUAACGGCCCACCAAGGCGAUGAUCGGUAGCCGGCCUGAGAGGGCACACGGCCACACUGGCACUGAAACACGGGCCAGACUCCUACGGGAGGCAGCAGUGGGGAAUCUUGCACAAUGGGGGCAACCCUGAUGCAGCGACGCCGCGUGAACGAUGAAGCCCUUCGGGGUGUAAAGUUCUUUCGGCAGGGACGAUAAUGACGGUACCUGAAGAAGAAGCUGCGGCUAACUACGUGCCAGCAGCCGCGGUAAUACGUAGGCAGCGAGCGUUGUUCGGAAUUACUG
rnacentral:rRNA from 1 species